rnacentral:rRNA from 1 species
UACGAAGGGGGCUAGCGUUGUUCGGAAUCACUGGGCGUAAAGGGUGCGUAGGCGGCUUUUUAAGUCAGGGGUGAAAUCCUGGAGCUCAACUCCAGAACUGCCUUUGAUACUGUAGAUCUUGAGUCCGGGAGAGGUGAGUGGAACUGCGAGUGUAGAGGUGAAAUUCGUAGAUAUUCGCAAGAACACCAGUGGCGAAGGCGGCUCACUGGCCCGGUACUGACGCUGAGGCACGAAAGCGUGGGGAGCAAACAGG